CGCAAUAAGCAGUGAGGAUAUUGGUCAAUGGCCUAACGGCUGAAGAAGCAACUUGGAGGAAUGAAUAGGGAAAACUGGUAAAAUGUGAUGUACCUAGUUAUAUUAGUAAUUAAUAUGAUAUUAACUAAGUUAAUUAAAAUUCAAAGUAGGUUUUGAUAAUGACAAAUCUUGCUUAUGUCUUGACCAAGUCACGUGCCAGCAGUCGCGGUAAUACGUGGAAGAUAAGUGUUAUUCAUGUUUAACAGGUUUAAAGGGUACCUAGACAGUUAAUUAAACACAAAACUGUAGUAAUUAACUAGAGUUUAAUAUAAGAAAGAUUGAGUACGGUGAGUGUAGAGAUAAAAUUCUGUCAUACCACUUAGGAACUGGUAAAUGCGUAGACAACUUUUUAUGUAAAAACUGACGUUAAGGGACGAAGGCUCGUAAGAAAGAGAAGGAUUAGAUACCCUAGUAUUCGGGCAGAAAAUGAUGAGUGUCAUAUGCAAGAAUUUUUUUGUGUAUAAAUGAAAGUGUAAGCACUCCACCUCAAGAGUAACGUGGCAACAUGGGAACUGAAAUCAUUAGACCGUUUCUGAAAUUCGUAGUGAAGUAUGUUGUUUAAUUUGAUAAUCCUCAAAUAACCUUACCACAAUUUGAAUUACUGCGAUUUUUUUUUUGUAGUGACAAGCGUUGCACGGCUGUCUUUAGUUAAUGUUGUGAAAUUGUGGUUAGAUCCAUUAAAUUGACGUAAACCCUUACUUUAUUUAAUAUAAAGUAGUUCGCCGCUAUACUGGUAGUGAUAUAAGGGACUAAGACAAGUCAUCAUGGCCUGAGUAUUGUGGGCUAUAGACGUGCCACUUA
rnacentral:rRNA from 1 species